AACCAAGCUUCAUCAUGGCAUAUACUGAGCGGGUUUGGUCAAUUCCAAGGAGCACCAUUGGUAGGAGUUGAAGUCCAAUGCCAAAAUGACCCAAAGAAAGAUGGCAUGUUUGCUGGAAUAAGCCCAAACCCUCCCUGGGAGUAUAUAAGAGAACCAGGACAGGGCAGGGCACAUUCUACUCAAACGGUGAACAAGUACACAGCGUGCCGGCCACGAAUUCUUUGUUAUGCCAUGUUGGGGUUCUCACCACUAUCCCUGACUUGUUUAGUUUUGUUUUGAGUGAUUUAAUCCUUUUGGUAGGGUGGCCAAGGACUCUUAAUUUUUGAGAGUGUGCCAGGAACAUUCAAAGGUUGGGAGCAGCUGCCCAUAGGAAUGGAAGGCAGGGUUAUUUGCAGGGGUUUGGCCAGAUGUCCACAGAUGCCAAGACCAGGAUACACCGGUUUCAAGCACUCUGAACUCUGAUGGUGGGCUAAGGUUUUGCUCAAAACUUUCUCUGGGUUUCUCGUUGUCAUUAGAGUCAAGCCCCAAACUUGCCAGGCUCUGGGUUCCUGCGCCUGCCCACCUCCCCCUCCUGUACACUCUGUUCUCACCAUACCCUCCUUACUCUUCCUGUCUGUUUUGUUUGAUCCCCGAUCCUCAGAGCCUAGCACGGUGCCUGGCAUGCAGUAGGUGUUCACCAAGGUCUACGGAUUGAAUGAGGGAGUUUUUUGCAGCUCCCAGUGCGUGCGUUACAGGCUCGUCUCCUUGCCCUGUCACAGCUGCCAUGCAGGAAGGCUGAGACAAGUCAGACCAGGCCCUGCCUGCCAAGGAUGCACAGCCCGGAGGAGGAUUGCAGCCUGUCUGUUGGUUUCUAUGGGAUGAACCGCUCUGGCUCACAGGACUUGUCUGAAGAGACAGGCAGCGCCAGCUCCGGCCGUCACCCUUCCGCUCUACUCGUCACCUGCCGCCGCAGAACCUCCCCGGGGGCUGAGUUCUCCCCAAUCAACCAGUGGCUCCCCCAUUUCACAGUGGCUGCAUCAGCAUCAGGUUGGUGGGGAAGGAUCAGGCUGUGGGUGCCCGUAGAACCUUGGUCUCCUGGCUUCUGGCCGGUUGUGGGCUCCUGCCAGGAGGAAGCGUCUGUCCAGGGGAUUGUCCCCACCGCAGGUGUCCCUCCUGAGCGUGUGGGUGUGAGAUGAGAGAGGGGGAGAUGAGCACCCCUCCGCGGGCUGGGCCAGGGCUCCUGGGGCUCCCUCGUGGUCCUGGUACCUUCUUCUUGGCAGUUUUCCUCCCACCGGUGCCUUUGCUGAAUGCCGCGGUCUCCCUCCGGACUAGAAGCUCUGCGAAGGGCGGCCUGGCGCCUACUAUAACUCUCUCGUGCCCCGUCUUGCUUGUUCAUUGCCAUUUCCCAAGCACGCAGUGAAGGGCAGGAGCGGGCCCUAGCUGUCAUGCACGCAGUUACCCCAAAGGGUGAGAAGCACAAACUCAGCACUCACGGUGUGCCAGGCGCUGCUCUGAGCACUUCCCUGUACUAACCCCAGGAGGAAGUCAGUAGUGCAAGGAAGGCACCCUACACGGACCUCCUGUACCUCCCGAAGCCUCUGGAGGUGAGCUAAGCUCCCUGGAGAGCUGCCCUUGCUAAGCUCCCCGGGCCUGCUGUAUCCCCAGGUGGAGCCAGUAUGAAGUCAUCCUGAGCAAAUGGAUGCAAUUCUCCCUCGCUCUGCAGGGGUGAGAGCUGCCCCGCAGGCACCUCUCAGGAAAGCCCAGAUCUCUGGGCUGCUUUUACCUGGAGCCAGCAGCCUGGAAGCUCUGUCUGUCUGUUCCCUAGGCUGCACAUUUGGGUCCUGGAGCCCUUGCUUUGUGUCAUUCCGGCAGCGUGGAUGAAACAGGACAGGGAGCAGCUGACAUCAGGUUUCCUGGACCAGCAGGACUUGGAAUUUUAUCAGGGACCUUCAAAUGCAAGACAUGUAAAAGAUUGUUUUAUUCAUUCACUCCUUCCUUCCUUCAUUCAUUCACCCUUGUGGUGGAGACUGACCAGCUCUUCAUUCAACCCAUUUCCCUUUCUUCCAAGGCACACAAAUAGACCGUAUUCCUAGCCUCCUUGGCACUUCGGUGCACCUUAUGUGACUGAAUUCUGGCUAACAGGAUGUGGGCAGAAGCAACAUGAGCCAUAUUUAGGCCUGGCCCAUAACCUCCUGGACCCCCCAGUCCCUCGCUUUCUCUCUUUCUCCAUCUACCAAUUGAAUGCAGGAGACUCUGGCAUCCUAGAGGAGGGGAGAGCCAUAAAAUGGAAGGAGCCCGGGCCCUUGCAGGGGGCUGCCUACCGCUCAAGAACACCAUGUGGCCUUUAGAAGAAGAGAACAUAAUCGCUGUGUCAGCCUCUGCACCAGGGGCUUGCCUGUUACAGCAUCUAGUGCUAUCCCAAAAAACAUAUCUUGGGGCGCCUGGGUGGCUCAGUCUGUUAAGCGUCUGCCUUCGGCUCAGGUCACGAUCCCGGGUCCUGGGAUCCAGCUCCGUAUCAGGCUCCCUGCUCAGCGAGGAGUCUGCUUCUCCCUCUCCCUCCUCGUGUUCUCUCUCACUCUCUGAAAUAAAUAAAAUCUUAAAAAAUAUAUAAAAUAUAAA
rnacentral:lncRNA from 12 species